AUCCUACAAGGAUUUGCUGGAUUUCAUUCCAACUGCAUGCUUUUCCAUUCCUGCUUUACUUAUCUAUUUUGGUGGAACCCACAGAGAGGUGCAGCGAGCGGGAGAGGUUCGGCUGAUGCAGCUGAAUAUGUGGACUUAGAAACAGGAAGCUGGAAUCUUAUUGCCUGAAAACGUUUUUUUUCUUGGCCAAACAUUAGCAAUUCUCGGGAAGCCCUUGGCUAGAAGCAGGGCCAAAUGAAGCAGGAAGUCACGCGAUCACCGGUGGACUUGGUGAUGUCAGGCUCCUCUUCAUAGAUGACACCCUCCCUGAAGCCAUUUGACUCACUUUAGGAACUGACGAUGCAAAGCAAAUGACCUAUUUAGUGCUUAAUCUCCUGAGCUCUGACUUCUGCUCAGCAUUCUGAAGCAACCCAGAGGAUGUAAGCAUGCUGUCCCCACUCAGGACUCUGCUCCUCUGUACAGAAGUAUUUGCGGCAAAGGCCUUCGGCCUCUUCCUACUCGUGUUAAGCUACUCUGGCACACACUACAGUGUCCUGGCAAGAAACUCUAACCCUCCCAAAAUCAGGAAGAAAACCAAAGACGAAAGCCUUUAAACAGAGACUCACAGGCAAAACUCUGUGGGAGGGAGAGAAAUGAGGCCAUUGCCCUGGGCACACUGCACAGGUGACUCAACACACCUGCCAGAAAGGAGCUUGCAAUUCUGGAGGAGUUAGGGUUGGUGCCAUGUGGUGCUGGGGGAGAGGAAGAGGAAAGGUGUACUCGUGAAGAAAAAGUGCAUGGUCCUGCGUGCAAAGCUGGAAAUGGGAACCUUGCCCACCGAGGAAAUUCUGGUUUCUCUGUCCCAGCCUAUGGCUGUGAAAAACAAAGUGCUCGGCAGGUGGCAGCACCAGAUCACCUGAGUAAAAUAAGGCUGCCAGGCCACUCUCCAGUUCACCUUGCGUAUUCCGUCUGCAUUGUGACUUUCUCGGGUGGGAUCUCAUUUAGCUGUCGAGGCCAUCUUCAUAAGAAGGAAGAGGCCUUGAGCUCAUCUGUGCAUUCUGAGCACCUAGCACAGUGCCUGGCACAUGCUGGGUGUAUUUGUUGAGUGAGAAGAUCAAUUGAAUGAAUGAAUGACUGAAUGAAUGAAUACAUUUUGAAAAUCCACCUAAACUAGAAAAAGCCAUCAUUUGAAGUGGUCCUGUUCCCUACUUCUUAUCCCAUCACUACUAUUGUCAUGUUAAUUACAAAUUUAAUUAGUUUUAGUAACAAUAAUAACACACUGUACUAGAUUAAUUCUCUACUCACCCCUGUGGCAGCCCACAUCCUUAUUCUUUACUUAAUUAAAAUUUCCCUAUCUCUUUUGGAGACUUUAAAAAACCAUGUUUUUUUUUUAAACCUGAGAUUAGAGACACAACAGCUAAAACUCCAUGUUUAAAAUAAUUCACCUAUGUCUGGAUGUUGAUAUUUAUAAGAAAGGCAAUAGACAGUCGUUAUUUGAUCAGCUCUGUUUUUUUUUUUAACCAAUGACUUGUUGGCCAGCUGUAAUUAUUUUAAAUUUACUCUUUUAAAAAAAGCUUUGCUUUCAUCGGUCUUCUUUAAAAUAUGCUAUUGUGCUGUGACUUGUGCCUUUUUAGAAUCCUUACUUAAUAAUAAUAAUUUGAAGUAAUAGAAAUAAAAAGACUAAAUAAUCUAAUGUGUAGUUCACUAUGCCCCAGGCACUGUGCUGUAUUGGGGUAGGGUGAGUACUAUCACUCUUAAGACAGUGUCCAAAAAAAAAUCCUCAUCUUUGCCUAACAAGGAGCACAAAGUGGCCACACUGGGCAGCAAAACAAGACCUUCAUAUUUACUUGUCAGAAUGAGGGUUAGCCAAACUCCCUGAAAGCCAAUGACAAGAACUUUGCUAAUAAAAUGACAGGGAGCACCCCUGAGUUGAGCGUGGGGGUGGGGGGGGGCGUUGGUGCAUAUAUAUGGGUUUUUGCAAGAAUGUUAUCUUAUAUAUUUUCAUGUCCCUGGCACCUCACCCAGAGUCUGGCACAUUUCAGGGCCUCAAUAAUAUUUACUGAAUGUGUGGAGACUAUCAGAACACAUCUCACCGAACAAUGGUCCUUGAAUCAGAGCCACAUGCUCAGUGUAGAAAAUAGGAGAGCAGAUUAUGAGAGCCAGCAUUCCGCAUAAAAAUGGGCUCAGAACCAAAAAAAAAAAAAAAAGCAGAUAGCAUCACCUGGAAAUAAUGACACCCUUAAUUAUCUCAUCUUCGGAACUCCUAUCCCUACUCUGCUCAUCGUCGUUACACCUAAUCAUUUUACCACUGCUUUCACAGCUUUAUUAUGCAGGUGGAGCAACACUAGGGUUACAGUCGUGAGUACACGAAACACAAGGUUUAUUUUUAUUUAUGAAUCACUGUAUUAUUUUCCAUACCAAAAAACCCUGUAAACUUACAUUUACCGCACCCUGUAUAUUAAAGGCAACUUUCCUGAACUCAAA